rnacentral:piRNA from 1 species
UCACUUCAAUGGAGCAUAGUGGAUGAAUG